rnacentral:misc_RNA from 1 species
GGGAAGUUGGGAUUUGAUUAUAUUAUUAUAAAUUACUGCCGCGGGUGAGAGAAUUGGGAUGUUGUAAGGAGAUGACGGAUAAGAAGAAGAAGAAGAAGAACAAAAAGAAGAAGAAAAGAGACAAGAUGAUGNNNNNNNNCUGCGAUUGAGAUAGGGAUAGAGAUAAGAGUUUGAAUAGUCCGUCUGUUUCUCGGGAAAAUUUCAGUUA